rnacentral:rRNA from 1 species
UACGUAGGGGGCAAGCGUUGUCCGGAUUUAUUGGGCGUAAAGAGCGUGUAGGCGGCCAGGUAGGUCCGUUGUGAAAACUCGAGGCUCAACCUCGAGACGCCGAUGGAAACCAUCUGGCUAGAGUCCGGAAGAGGAGAGUGGAAUUCCCGGUGUAGCGGUGAAAUGCGCAGAUAUCGGGAUGAACACCGGUGGCGAAGGCGGGUCUCUGGGCCGAUACUGACGCUGAGGAGCGAAAGCGUGGGGAGCGAACAGG